AUUGAACGCUGGCGGCAGGCUUAACACAUGCAAGUCGAGCGGGGUGAUGGUGCUUGCACUAUCACUUAGCGGCGGACGGGUGAGUAAUGCUUAGGAAUCUGCCUAUUAGUGGGGGACAACAUCUCGAAAGGGAUGCUAAUACCGCAUACGUCCUACGGGAGAAAGCAGGGGAUCACUUGUGACCUUGCGCUAAUAGAUGAGCCUAAGUCGGAUUAGCUAGUUGGUGGGGUAAAGGCCUACCAAGGCGACGAUCUGUAGCGGGUCUGAGAGGAUGAUCCGCCACCAUGGGACGGAGACACGGCCCAGGAUCCUACGGGAGGCAGCAGUUGGGAAUAUUGGACAAUGGGGGGAACCCUGAUCCAGCCAUGCCGCGUGUGUGAAGAAGGCCUUAUGGUUGUAAAGCACUUUAAGCGAGGAGGAGGCUCUUUUGGUUAAUACCCAAGAUGAGUGGACGUUACUCGCAGAAUAAGCACCGGCUAACUCUGUGCCAGCCGCCGCGGUAA
rnacentral:rRNA from 1 species